rnacentral:rRNA from 1 species
CAGUCGCCACGGUAAUACGUAGGUGGCAAGCGUUGUCCGGAAUUAUUGGGCGUAAAGGGCUCGCAGGCGGUUUCUUAAGUCUGAUGUGAAAGCCCCCGGCUCAACCGGGGAGGGUCAUUGGAAACUGGGAAACUUGGGUGCAGAAGAGGAGAGUGGAAUUCCACGUGUAGCGGUGAAAUGCGUAGAGAUGUGGAGGAACACCGGUGGCGAAGGCGACUCUCUGGUCUGUAACUGACGCUGAGGAGCGGAAGCGUGGGGAGCGAACAGGAUUAGAUACCCGUGUAGUCCCUGUCUCUUAUAC